rnacentral:rRNA from 1 species
UACGUAGGGGGCUAGCGUUGUCCGGAAUCAUUGGGCGUAAAGCGCGCGUAGGCGGCCCGGUAAGUCCGCUGUAAAAGUCAAAGGCUCAACCUUUGAAUGUCAGUGGAUACUGCCGGGCUAGAGUCCGGAAGAGGCGAGUGGAACUCCUGGUGUAGCGGUGGAAUGCGCAGAUAUCAGGAAGAACACCGACGGCGAAGGCAGCUCGCUGGACGGUACUGACGCUGAGGCGCGAAAGCGUGGGGAGCGAACAGG